GACGAACGCUGGCGGCGUGCCUAAUACAUGCAAGUAGAACGCUGAAGGAGGAGCUUGCUUCUCUGGAUGAGUUGCGAACGGGUGAGUAACGCGUAGGUAACCUGCCUGGUAGCGGGGGAUAACUAUUGGAAACGAUAGCUAAUACCGCAUAAGAGUAGAUGUUGCAUGACAUUUGCUUAAAAGGUGCAAUUGCAUCACUACCAGAUGGACCUGCGUUGUAUUAGCUAGUUGGUGGGGUAACGGCUCACCAAGGCGACGAUACAUAGCCGACCUGAGAGGGUGAUCGGCCACACUGGGACUGAGACACGGCCCAGACUCCUACGGGAGGCAGCAGUAGGGAAUCUUCGGCAAUGGACGGAAGUCUGACCGAGCAACGCCGCGUGAGUGAAGAAGGUUUUCGGAUCGUAAAGCUCUGUUGUAAGAGAAGAACGAGGGUGAGAGUGGAAAGUUCUCACUGUGACGGUAUCUUACCAGAAAGGGACGGCUAACUACGUG
rnacentral:rRNA from 1 species